CUGUGAGUUUUUUACAUAAGUAAAAAUCAUUCUCUUAGUGUACCAUGGGUAUUAGGUAUGCAAAAUGAAGUGACUGAAAUUUGUGUAAUCCCCGUAGGCACAAAUGGAUUAUUGUGACGAUGUGUAUGAUGUUGUAGAUCAAUUGCAGAAUCUUAAAGGCAUCCUGCCAAACUUCACUAUUGUCCGGACUUUUGAGUACUGAGAGGUCAGGCUUGCUUUGGAUGAUUAGAGGCCUUGUAAGAUUUGUUUAAAGAUGGUAGUUUCAUAAAGAAAUGUUGGUGUGAAUUUGGUAUUCCUCAACCAAAUAAUAACUAAAUUGUACUAGGUCAGAGGGAUGUUAGUAAACACACAUAAGACGAACAAAUCAACAUUUAGACAAAACUUAGACAACAUAAAAACAAUCGUAUACAUAACCUCACUUGCACUUAGUCUAAUUCUUGUACAGCUAAUCUUUGUUGCAUUGCACUGUGUGGUUGUGUGUCAGUGUGUGUGCAUAUUUAUUGCCUGUUCCUACCUUACCUAACCCUAUGCUCUGCUUGGUUUAACCUUAGUUUAAUCAUUGGGACCUGCAACCCGCUAUUCAUGCAGCGAAGCCAAAGCAUGCGCGUUUCCUCCCUAUGCAUGCAUCACACACAACUCCAAGCAAUCACCAGUUUCACUGUCAAGUCGUUCACUUCUAAUAAUAAAGGAAACUUGCCUGUGCUUAAAGCCAAAACAUGCAAUUUUAAGCUUUUCAUUACAUGCGAUCACACUUUAUCAUACGCCUCUCAUUCAAACUUCCAUUUAAUUUGUCAUACUUUGCUCAUUCACUCUUCUUUUACAGUCAUCCAUCCAUAUGUAUCCUUCACAUAACUCUUUAUCACACAUCUCAGUGCGCACACAUCAACAUCAUUCCAGUAGGCCUACUCACACACACUUUCAUACUUCUUUCCCCAUUUAUUUAGAACAUAAUUUAGUGUCAUGAUAAUAUAGUUAAUUCCCUAAUUUAUCUGUGUACACUGCCGCUUACAUUAUUGACACUAAUUAUUAUUUUUGCCAGAACAAAUAAUCUUCACUUCUGCAGAAUAUUACUUAUUCAAGUUUCCUUAUCUUACUAAUUCAGAGAUCUCAGAAUUUCCUGCAGUUAAGGCCAUUUACCUUACGUUCUUCCUCGGGAAAUUAGUUAAUGUAACUUCAGUUAGCUAGUGUACUUAUUUAUGAAAUAUAACUGUUGUUGGCUAGUGAUCUAAUUCUUCCAGGUCAGAGGGAAAACUACCCUUAAUUGUCUAGAAUUCAUUAGUUAGUCAUCGUUCCAAUAUCCAAAAUCACCUGUAAUGUUCAGGACUCCUUCCGGGGCUGGAUACAACCCGCAGGAUUCAUUUAGUCAUUUGUAGUUUUUUUUAGUUUGUUUUUUGUUUAUUUUUUUAAUUAUUUUUGAGUUCAGUGAGCUGCUGUUAAACUAAGUUCUUCCCGUAGUUUUUCACCUUCCUCCUUAAAUAGCUGUAAAAUAUAUUGCUCAUUCUGUUUGUCUUUAAGCAGUUGUCUAACUAUUGAAAUUCAGUUUAAAUUUUUCCAGUCAGUUGCAGUUUUGUUAAUCUCAACCUUUCAUUUGGAGUUAGUAAAGAAUUAGUUCAUUAUUUUAGUUAUUGCGCUUGUUACAUUUAUUCCUUGUAGUAUUGUUUGCUUAUUGUUGCUAAAUAUGUUAUAUAUUCUUUAAUAGAUGUAGCAGUUUAGCAAGUUCUUUGCAGUUCUUUAACUCUAUUUACAGUCAAAUAUACAUUUAAAUGAUCUUCAACAUAGUUCAGUGUCUAGAAACAAUGAUUAUUUUGAUUAAGGUCUGUAUUAUUUAGUUACUUCGGACUUAUGCUUUAACCUUCUGUCCGCUUUAAGCAGAGAGAAGAAAAGGAAAAGUGUCACUGCUCUGUGCUUCUAUCCAAAAUGGUCAAGGGUGGGGGCUAAUUGGACGUAAUGGGAAGUGGGCUGUCUUAUUGCUGUGGACUACAACUGGGUGUGAACAAGGACUGGUUAUGAAUUACGUUAGAUCCCUUGACCCGUGAGGUGUGGUAGAGCCAGAGAGAUGGGGCGAAAGGUUGAUCAAGAGAGUGAGAGAGAGAAACAGUUGGAGGGACAGAAAUGGUGCUUUGGGAAUGUUUGUGUGUGCCUAUUCCUGGGAAUCAGCCAGAAACGCUUUUCUUUCUCUCUUAGGUGCAAAUUUAACUAGGAGCUUUGUCCCUCUUCAACACCACCUUUUACCUGUUUUUUUCUUCAGCAAAAUAUGUAUUUUAUAAAUGCCUUUAAUACACAGCAUAAAGUUACAUUUUAAAACAAUUGCGGUCAAAAAUAGAGACCAAAUUUUUAACCUUUGAGCAGAACACAGCUUUAAUUUCUUCAAAAGCUUUGUAGGCAAUCACUUCAUUUAAUAAGUCGAAACAUACACAUUUCAGAAUUUACUGUAUAAACAGAGGCAUGCCGAUUAAAUAUUUACACAGCAGAUACAUAUACAACAUACAUUCCCAAUUAUUCAGCCAUUCGUCUCUGCAACAUUCAUUCUUUAUAUUUUUUGCUUCCUAUCUUUUAUUAUCGUUAUACUCUUCUUCUUCUUCCUCCCCGGGGAAUAUAUACUUUGACUAUUAUAAUUAUUUAUAAAAUGUAAAUAUAUAAAAUUUUAGUUGGCUACAGAUUUAACUAGCCAGUGUCCAAUUUUAUGUGUGCACACAAUUGAUUAUGUUAGAACUUGAAUUAUCUCAGCCAAGGCACAAAAUAACUCCAACCCUCUUCCAGAGAUCUCAGACAAAGAAAUUAAAGAAACAAUUACUGCAGUUAACUCACAUAAAUAAUCCUUUUAAAAAAACUCAGUUUCUAAACUUCAAGACGUCUCAGAAUUGUUAAAGGUCUCCUAUUGGAGCCAUGCUCCCCUCGGUGGGAUUACACAGUCCAGUCGACCUUUUCCUUAGUGCUUUUACUUCAACUUAAGAGAUCGCAAUUUCUUCUUUUUUUUCUUACACAUAUAUCUCAGGCCACACGGAGAAAUCUGCUAUUUCUCUUACUUGAGAGUUCCGUCGCUUUUAAUCCGAGGAAGUUUCGGAAUACUCUCUGGCCUCACUUAUAGAGAUCGCAAUCUCUCUUCGCAGAUUCAGCUGGCUUAAUAUUAAACUCAUGGCCUCUUGCCAUACUAUCACGGCCUCUUGCCGUAUUUAACAAAUCGUGCUAUGUAAUAAUUAAUCAGCUCACGAAAGUGCCUGCUCAAAAGAGCUUCACCAGGUUCACUGAAAUACGGUAACUUAUAACGCGGAAUGGAAAUUCCUAAAGUGUUAGACAUCGCCAAAAAGGGCGCAAAGCCAGACUGACAAAGGUGCUUAUUUUAAGGGUUGUUUACGUUUCCAGAAUGUAAAAGGUAACUAUGAGCCUUUGAAAGGUUUAUUCAACCCCCCCUUGCGCAAGGGAUCGUUUGUCAAUGAGCAGUAAAGAACCUCAUCACUUUUUAGCUCUUCAGACUGCCACCAGACAAGAAUCCAUUCUGUACUUUUAUAAGUAAAAGAGAUAAAGUUCUUACCUCUUUUUCUGUGUCUGGGCCGGAUCCUUGUUCUGUAGCCAGCCUGGAGAGAGACACCUUUUCAUUCCCCUCAAAUUUGAAUUGGCUCAAUCGGCACGUCGGGGUUCACCAUUUUGUGGGAGAAUUUAUAGGUGUCUAAACUCAUAAUUAUAUUUAAAUAAAGAAUUACAGAAGACUUGGAACUCCGUCUGCUCAUAGUCGAACGAGAAGAGAUUUUUAAUGCACAUCUGCAGAUCUACAACAUCAUACACAU